rnacentral:rRNA from 1 species
UACGGAGGAGGUAAGCGUUAUCCGGAAUUAUUGGGCGUAAAGCGUCCGCAGGUGGCACCUCAAGUCUGCUGUCAAAGACCGGGGCUUAACCCCAGAAAGGCAGUGGAAACUGAAGUGCUAGAGUGCAGUAGGGGUAGAGGGAAUUCCCGGUGUAGCGGUGAAAUGCGUAGAGAUCGGGAAGAACAUCGGUGGCGAAAGCGCUCUGCUGGACUGCAACUGACACUCAGGGACGAAAGCUAGGGGAGCGAAUGGG